rnacentral:rRNA from 1 species
UCAUACAAAAUGACUCUCGGCAACGGAUAUCUCGGCUCUUGCAUCGAUGAAGAACGUAGCGAAAUGCGAUACUUGGUGUGAAUUGCAGAAUCCCGUGAACCAUCGAGUCUUUGAACGCAAGUUGCGCCUGAAGCCAUUAGGCUGAGGGCACGCCUGCCUGGGUGUCACAC